CGCAAUGGGCGAAAGUCUGACGGAGCGACGCCGCGUGGUUGAUGAAGUGCUUAGGCAUGUAAAAACCUUUUAUGAGGGAAAAAGUUUAUUGAUUGUACCUCAUGAAUAAGGGGUUGCUAAACUCGUGCCAGCAGCAGCGGUAAUACGAGUGCCCCGAGCGUUAUCCGGAAUUAUUGGGCGUAAAGGGUGCGUAGGUGGUGGUAUUAGUCUAGCGUUAAAUCCUUCGGCUUAACCGAAGAAUCGCGCAGGAAACGGUACCACUAGAGAAUGUGAGAGGUGUGUAGAACUCAUGGAGUAGGGGUGAAAUCCGUUGAUAUCAUGGGGAAUACCAAAAGCGAAGGCAGCACACUGGCACAUUUCUGACACUGAAGCACGAAAGCGU
rnacentral:rRNA from 1 species